rnacentral:rRNA from 1 species
ACGGUGAGGGAUGAAAGCUGGGGGAGCAGACCGGAUUAGAUACCCGGGUAGUCCCAGCUGUAAACUAUGCAAACUCAGUGAUGCAUUGGCUUGUGGCCAAUGCAGUGCUGCAGGGAAGCCGUUAAGUUUGCCGCCUGGGAAGUACGUACGCAAGUAUGAAACUUAAAGGAAUUGGCGGGGGAGCACCACAAGGGGUGAAGCCUGCGGUUCAAUUGGAGUCAACGCCU